UAUAUCAAUCAUGCAGGAGUGGUGCCUAUACGUCUUUGACAUGAAGCUGAAAAGGCUCAACAUGCUUGAUCCAGUUUACACAGAGCACAGCAAGCAUGCGUACAGGGACACACAUUCAUCCAUAAUUUUCAACACGCUUAACUAUUUGAAGAAUGUUGGGGGAUGAUUGCUGAUGGGUGGCACAUGGAUAUCUCGGAUUGGCAUGUGAGGUACAACAAGAACAUGCACGUUGCGUGCGGAAGGUGAGGACUAGAGUAGUAGUGAUGAGAGAACAAAUCUGAAACAUUGCUGUCAGUGACUGAUGCAUUCCUUGUUUUUUAGUGGGGAAUAUGCUGGAUAUGUUGCUUACUACGCUGACAACUUCAAUGGUACACGCCUGGAACAUGACGUGCCACAGGUUGGUCUGCUGGCAAGGAGGAGGAUGAUGUUGUAUGAGACUAUGGCGGCCAAGGGAAAUUCUUCUCCUCAUCUAGGAAUCAUGGAGCAAGUGACAAUUGAAGAGUAGUUCUUGACGCAGCGAGGCGUCGGACUUGUCCGCGGGUUUAGGUUAGGCGCAACCUGCUAGAUAAUCAUUUUGGUGGUACGAAAGCUUGGAUGGAUUAGCGAGUUGGAAGUGUGCUUGUUAGUACGAACUUGGGUCUCCUAAUUAUUUUGGUUGUAAUAUGUCAGUUAAGAUGAUCUUGUCAACGAACCUCCCUGGGACGGAAUCGAGCCAUGCAUGGCUUUUUAUUUAAGAAAUGUGUCUGCA